rnacentral:rRNA from 1 species
GACCAACGCUGGCGGCGUGCUUAACACAUGCAAGUCGAACGGUGAAGCGCCUUCCUUUUUGGUGGGUGUGGAUGAGUGGCGAACGGGUGAGUAACACGUGAGUAACCUGCCCCCUUCUUCUGGAUAACCGCAUGAAAGUGUGGCUAAUACGGGAUAUUCUGGGUCUGUCGCAUGAUGGGUCUGGGAAAGAUAUUGUUUCGGUGGGGGAUGGGCUCGCGGCCUAUCAGCUUGUUGGUGGGGUGAUGGCCUACCAAGGCGGUGACGGGUAGCCGGCCUGAGAGGGUGGACGGUCACACUGGGACUGGGACACGACCCAGACUCCCACGGGAGGCAGCAGUGGGGAAUAUUGCACAAUGGGCGCAAGCCUGAUGCAGCGACGCCGCGUGAGGGAUGGAGGCCUUCGGGUUGUGAACCUCUUUCGCCAGUGAAGCAGGCCUGCCUCGUUUGUGGGUGGGUUGACGGUAGCUGGAGAAGAAGCGCCGGCUAACUACGUG